CCUACGGGUGGCAGCAGUGGGGAAUAUUGCACAAUGGGGGAAACCCUGAUGCAGCGAAGCCGCGUGAGUGAAGAAGUAUUUCGGUAUGUUAAACCCUAUCAGCAGGGAAGAAAAUGACGGUACGUGAUUAAGAACCCCCGGCUAACUACGAGCCAGCAGCCGCGGAAAUACGUAGGGGGGAAGCGUUAACCGGAUUUACUGGGUGUAAAGGGAGCGUAGACGGCAGCACAAGGCUGGAGGUAAAUGCCGGGGCUUAACCCCGGAACUGCUGUUGAAACUGUGCAGCUAGAGUGCACGAGAGGUAAGUGGAAUGCCUGGUGUAGCGGUGAAAUGCGUAGAUAUUACGAAGAACACCAGUGGCGAAGGCAGCUUACUGGACUGUAACUGACGUUGAGGCACGAAAGCGUGGGGAGCAAACAGGAUUAGAUACCCGAGUAGUC
rnacentral:rRNA from 1 species